GUGCUGCGAUGUGUUCCCGCUCCUUGGAGUGCUCCUGCUUCCUGGAGUGCUCCUGCUUCUUGGAGUGCUCCUGCAGCCUCGCCUGGGCGCUGCUGGGCUGCCGGGGGGCCGGACGGCAAAGUGCUGAGACCACACGCUUGUUAGGGGCAAGAGCAUUACUGGUGUGUUGGGGAUGGUUAUAUGUGGGCUGGGUAUGUAUGCAUGUAUAGUGCGUAUUGCAGUGUUAUCUCAAGACCCAAGAGGCAUCAUCUUACCCUACUGAGAACACACAGUCGACUAAGAUCAGGAAACUUUUUGCCAAAAUUCACCAAAGAAUCUGUAUCUAAGAGAAACUCAAGUUGCUGGUGCUUGGUAACUUUGCAGAAGUUGAGUGCGAGAACAUCUGGAUUAGCAUAAAUCACAAGGAUGGUAAUGGAUGCUGCUGCAAGAUGUCCAAAAAUCGAGUAGCUUUACCCUGCCACGUUUAUGACUGGGUAAUUAGAAAUAAGCACCAGUGGGUAAUUAGGUGAUUCAUAUCAUACCAUUGUGUAAAACUCCUAAAGUGAAAUCUCAGGGGUGUGCCCAGUUUGGCUGGGGCACUUCAGAUGCAAGAAUAAACAUUUAUGUUUGUAGUUCUAUGGCUUGGAUCCUAGCCUCUCUCCUUGAUUAGCACCAGCCAGCUGUGAAUUCAUGACAAGAAUGAAGUGCUUCGGCUUCUCUCUUCGCAAGGAAGCGCUCUGCCCUGAGCUUCCGCUUCAAAUCUUCAAUUACUAUCUCUACACUUCGUGCUGCCUCUUGCUUCCUCAAGUAAGCCAUCUCACCAGCUGCUCCGGGUUGGCAACAAGGAGGCCUGAAGGCCUUUGGCUCAUAACCAAUGCUGACGUGGCAGCGUGGAGCUACAGGAGCACCUGCAGCUCGGGUAGAGCCUCCCGGCUUUUGCCUCUGAUCUGAGAACAUCGAGGUUUCCUGGCAUCUUUUCUAACACAGUUUGUGUAGUGAAUCUCCCAAUAUUGUUUGUUGCUGCUCAAGAUUCAUUAAUACGUAGUGAGCUGCUUUGCAAGGUGCCAGCUUUGCCUGCUAGCCUUAAAAGUCUUUGUUGCAUUUGUUUCUGGAGCUUGAAUGGAGCUAUGUGCUCUUGGAAACUCUUCUUGAGGAAAGUCCAGCAGAAGAGUCCGAGCUGACAAGGGUCAAAGGGCCUGUGGGACAUUUGGGUCCAGAGCAAUAGGUUUAGGUGCUAACAGAACACAGUUAUACUGUGAAAAAAGAUGAAAAUCUGGUCCUUAAUAUUUUCUUACACUUACUGUAUAAGGUAGAUGUAUGUAGAACUGUAACCCCAUUUUUGACAUGUUUUUGAAUUUGUAGAGUUCUGCUGUGCUAAUUACUGUACAUUCCAUUAAUUUUGUUUUCCAUGCUGAAAAAGAAAUAGACAACGGAAACUGCUCGUCUGCCACCAGAUAUCCCAGGUUUAGGCCCUAGGGUUGUUUCAAACUGUAUACUGUCACCCAUAUGCAUUGCUACUGUUUUCAUUGAUGGGACAAUGGAAGUGGGUACCCUCAUGGUAAAUUAAAACUCUCCCAGAAAGUUUUGGUGAAUAGGACUGGAGGUAAAGCAGAAAAAAAUAUCAACAGUAUUAUGUAUCCCAGAGAAGUGAAAGUUAGGAUUUAUGAUCAUGGCAGUCUUGUGUUUUUGGUGGUUUUGGGUUGUAUUUUGUUGGUUUGUUGGUUUGUUUUUGUUUUUUGUUUGUUUUUAAAUUAUUUCUGUUGUAGUAUAACUUAAUUGAUGGCAGUCUGGUUUUCAGAAAAAUUAAAAAUUAAGUAGUUUUUGAAGCUGCCAUCACACUUGGGGUUCAGCUGAUGUCACUGUGGAAGAGUUUUUUCUCUGGGGAACCAGUGCUGAGGAAGUGCCAAGAUAAUAUAAUACUGCCUUUGCAUGGAUUGGCUAAAUGUGCAUGUUAUUGUGCCAGAGGCUGACUGGAUCACUAAUUCCUAUCUGCCCUAACUAUGCUGGAUAAGCAUCAGGAUGUACUCAUCUAAGAGCUUUUCUUACCAUGUGAGCCAAAACCUCCUUUCUCAUCUCAAAUGCUCUCACAUAUAGGAGAAGGAGUGUCCUGCACUGAGGUUUAUCACCAAGGUGGCUUCUAAUAUUCCCGCUACAAGAUGAGGACAGACACCACUGAUAAACUUUCUGUAUGUCCAGAUGUCCUUUUCUGGAGCAUAGGUUUGUCUAAUUUUAAGCUACAGCUUCUGCUUCACAUGGGAAUUAUUAAAGAGGGUGAGGACUUUGUCAUGUCCCAAAACAAUUUCAAGGCUCUGCAUAAAAAUUUUAUCAUAAAAUAUGGAAUUGGUCUUGUGGGUGGAGACAUGAACUGGAAUUCAGUUGGAUUUGUUUGUUAAUGAUAUUACAUUAUUACAUUAAUAAUGACUGUUAAUGAUAUGCACACCAUCACUGGAAGCAGAACUGAAAUAUUUUCUGUCUAAAAACCUCUUCUUUUGGAUACAAAGGCUUCAAAUUUCCAGCCUAGGAACAGCUGGCUGCUGGAGUCCAGUCUACCACAAUCCCAGUCAACCACGAACAGAUGCUUAAUUCAGAACAGAAGUACACCAGGAGCUGUUGCAUGCUCACAAGAACACAUAGGUAUUAUCCCAAAGAUACAUAACAAACACAAAACAGCUAAAAACAGAAAGUUAAAACAGAAGAGAGACACAAGUCAUGAAAGGAAGAGGAUGGGAGUGAUAGUUUAUUUGUGGUCUGAGCCCCUGCAGUGGCAGAGGUGUACUGGGUGGGACUGCUCAGAAGGCAUCCAGAUAUCUUCGUUUUAAAAAAUUUCCUGUGGUUCCUGCUGAGGUUGUGUGGGUGCAACUGGUUAUUGUAGUUGGAGUAAUUCUGAGCAAGUUAGAAGAUGUGAAGCCAUUUGAGCUAGUGUGGUAGCCCAUACCAAUCUGUAGGUCUGCCUUGUUCAGAAGUUAAUAAAUAAAAUGGCACCUUAGUUUCACAAAA